GUGCCAGCAGCCGCGGUAAUACGGAGGGUGCAAGCGUUGUUCGGAAUUACUGGGCGUAAAGCGCGCGUAGGCGGUUUGUUAAGUCACGAUGUGAAAGCCCAGGGCUUAACCCUGGACGUGCAUUUGAAACUGGCAGACUUGAGUAUUGGAGGGGGUGGUGGAAUUCCCGGUGUAGAGGUGAAAUUCGUAGAUAUCGGGAGGAAUACCGGUGGCGAAGGCGACCACCUGGCCAAAUACUGACGCUGAGGUGCGAAGGCGUGGGGAGCAAACAGGAUUAGAUACCCUGGUAGUCCACGCGGUAAACGAUGAGAACUAGGUGUUGGGACGAGUUGAUCGUCUCAUUGCCGCAGCUAACGCAUUAAGUUCUCCGCCUGGGGAGUACGGUCGCAAGAUUAAAACUCAAAUAAAUUGACGGG
rnacentral:rRNA from 1 species